rnacentral:rRNA from 3 species
CCUGGCGGCCUUAGCGCGGUGGUCCCACCUGACCCCAUGCCGAACUCAGAAGUGAAACGCCGUAGC